UUUUGCCAUAUUCUUCAGGCUGGUCUUGAACUCCUGACAUCAGAAAUGCCAAAUUGACUCAGCACCAUUCACAGAGAAGACUGGCCUUUCCCACAGUAACUGCAGUGACGUCCGUGGUGUUCAUCAUGUGACUGAGGACGUGGCUUUGGUUCUGUGCUCUGUGUUCGUUUGCUUGGUCUGUUUCUCGUGGCACCAAUACUGUUGAUACCUGGUAGUGUAAACCUUCCGAUACUAUUCUUUAAGAUUGCUUUGGCUUUCUAGAUCCUUUGUAUUUCCAUAUAAGUUUUAGAAUUUGAUUGUCAGUGUUCACAAAUAAACCUUCAUGCUCACUGUUUAAA